rnacentral:lncRNA from 1 species
GUCUCGAGAAGUAACUGGGAGGAACCCUGUGGCACCAUUUUUGUUCUCUUUCUGGGUGUCUCUUUUCAUUAGUGAUCGAUAGAAUUCCAUAACUGCUGGCACACGUCUUACAGCUCUUGAUCCAACCGGAGACGAAGGUAGAGGUGGCGGUGGUGGCGGUGGUGCGAUUACUCGUUUUUGCAGCGACUGUGGUGGAGAAGGUGGUGGUUUUGGUAGAAUCGCAUUUGCUUCUGUAUGGUUUGAAGUUGGUUUCUUUAAUGGUGCCUCUGGUACUGCAACUUGAAGCUUGGUUUUUUGUGUUGGUUCGUCUAUAACCUUGCCGCAAUCCAUCGAACUCUGUAAUUUCUUCCAUAGCAUCGAUUUCCUCUCUAAAUCAUGUGCUUUUAGUGUGUUGAUUUGUGCCUUAAGACGACCCAUUUC